rnacentral:misc_RNA from 1 species
GAAACAUUAUUGGCAACCCAAAAGGGAUAACCAAUUAAGCCUCUGUUACAGACCUCGAAAGGCAUCUACUACAAAACCAAAAGCCACACCCUACAAAUUAAAACAGCUUAGCUAAAACCUUGCUAUAACAUAUUCAUUAGCAACAUUCUUACAAGUAUACACAAAAAACCUGCAGCACUUAAAGCCAUAAAUACUAGCUAGUUUAUUCAGCUCCUGGUCCUGAACUUGGACUCAUCAAUGGGGAUACCCUCUCUCUCUGCUCGUUCACCACCAGACUCAUCGGUGGUGCUCAGCCCACCCUUUCGACCCAUCUCCUGAUACCCUUCUGUCCCCAGCUGCUCCUUCCUCGUCUGCCCUCCUCGGCUUCUCCCUGUUAGCCAAAACAAUGUUAAAACAGAGCCCAUUAACAGUAUCAGCAGAGUCACAGAGUUGAAAAAGUUUCACCUUCGGCGAGGUGUUCUUGAGCUUCAAGGCUUUUGCCCCCCGUGCCUCCAGGAACUACAGUCUCACCUUGCCUUGCUUUCGCAUCAAGUUCAUCUCUUGAUGGCUGCUGGUGUGAAGACAUCUUUCCUCUUAAAUCAACCAAAACCAAGAUUGCUUUCUUGCUUUUGAAC